GUGUUUGGUUUGUUUGGAGCGGUUGGUUCCAUGCUUGAGCAUCGACAAUCGUUCUUUCUUACCUCUUCAUUAUUGUUCCACGGGCGCAUGCCAUGGACCAAGUCGGUUUCUUGUGUUGCAUACCUACGUUGAUGGAAUUGUCUCUCGUUUAAACGUUCCUAAUCUCACCUUGCGCUGCCCACGGCGUGCGAGGUAGACCAUGUAGUGCGUUUCGUUGUCCUCUCUGGAGCCGCAUAGUCGGUGGAGGAAAGGGCCAGCGUAGCGUUGCUCGAAGUCUUGGAUGCGGAAUCUUAAGCGGGCAAAGAGGCCUCUGGCCUUUAAUUGCCCAAAUCAAGCGUUCUAGCUUAGUGCAAACGACUGUUGUGCCCGUUUUGAGUUGAGGAUACUUUUGGUCCGAAUGCUCAUGCGAUGCCGGCGUCGUAAAGGAAUG
rnacentral:misc_RNA from 1 species